rnacentral:snoRNA from 1 species
AACUUUGUCCAAAAGUUUCCCUCACUAUAGACAGUACGUGGGUUGCUAUUUUAAAAAUAUUUCAAUGCAACUAUUCAUCGUGAUAAGUGACGGGAUAUAUUAACCCAACUUUAGCCAUUCAUAUAAGAACCUAUGUGGAAUGUGUAUCGUCAAGAUAUGAUAUGAUACAUGGGUGUCAGAGAGUGUCAACAUUU